GACGAACGCUGGCGGCGUGCUUAACACAUGCAAGUCGAACGGGCCCGCCCCUGUUUUUGGGGGUGGGUUGAGUGGCGAACGGGUGAGUAUCACGUGAGUAACCUGCCCCCUGCUCCUGGAUAACUGCUUGAAAGGGCGGCUAAUACGGGGUGUGCCGGCUGGUCCGCAUGGGCCUGGUCGGGAUAGUUUCAUCUUCGGGUGUUUCGGUGGGGGAUGGGCUCGCGGCCUAUCAGCUUGUUGGUGGGGUGAUGGCCCACCAAGGCGGUGACGGGUAGCCGGCCUGAGAGGAUGGGCGGCCACACUGGGACGGAGACACGGCCCAGACGCCUGCGGGAGGCAGCAGUGGGGGGUAUGGCAGAAUGGGCGGAAGCCGGAGGCAGCGACGUCGCGUGAGGGAUGGAGGCCGUCGGGUUGUGAACCUCUUUCUCCGGUGGUGAAGGCCCUGUCCGUUGCGGCGGGGUUGACGGUAGCCGGGUAUGAAGCGCCGGCUAACUACGUG
rnacentral:rRNA from 1 species